rnacentral:rRNA from 1 species
CCUACGGGUGGCAGCAGUGAGGAAUAUUGGUCAAUGGACGAGAGUCUGAACCAGCCACGUAGCGUGAAGGAUGACUGCCCUAUGGGUUGUAAACUUCUUUUAUAUGGGAAUAAAACAGAGUAUGCAUACCACCUUGGAUGUACCCUAUGAAUAAGGAUCGGCUAACUCCGUGCCAGCAGCCGCGGUAAUACUGAGGAUCCGUGCGUUAUCCGGAUUUAUUGGGUGUAAGGGGAGCGUAGCUGGGUUGUUAAGUCAGUUGUGAAAGUUUGCGGCUCAACCGUAAAAUUGCAAUGGAUACUGGCAGUCUGGAGUACAGUUGAGGUAGGCGGAAUUCGUGGUGUAGCAGUGAAAUGCUUAGAUAUCGCGAAGAACCCUGAUUGCGAAGGCAGCUUACUAAACUGUGACUGACGUUGAUGCUCGAAAGUGUGGGUAUCAAACAGGAUUAGAUACCCUAGUAGUC